rnacentral:rRNA from 1 species
CAGAGGUCUCAAGCGUUGUUCGGAUUCAUUGGGCGUAAAGGGUGCGUAGGCGGCGCGGUAAGUCGGGUGUGAAAUCUCGGAGCUUAACUCCGAAACUGCAUUCGAUACUGCCGUGCUUGAGGACUGGAGAGGAGACUGGAAUUUACGGUGUAGCGGUGAAAUGCGUAGAUAUCGUAAGGAAGACCAGUGGCGAAGGCGGGUCUCUGGACAGUUCCUGACGCUGAGACACGAAGGCCAGGGGAGCAAACGGGAUUAGAUACCCCGGUAGUCCUGGCAGUAAACGGUGCACGUUUGGUGUGGGAGGAUUCGACCCCUUCUGCGCCGGAGCUAACGCGUUAAACGUGCCGCCUGGGGAGUACGGUCGCAAGAUUA